GUUGUUGGGUAGGGGAGCGUUCUGUAAGCCUGUGAAGGUGGCCUGUGAGGGUUGCUGGAGGUAUCAGAAGUGCGAAUGCUGACAUAAGUAACGAUAAAGCGGGUGAAAAGCCCGCUCGCCGGAAGACCAAGGGUUCCUGUCCAACGUUAAUCGGGGCAGGGUGAGUCGACCCCUAAGGCGAGGCCGAAAGGCGUAGUCGAUGGGAAACGGGUUAAUAUUCCCGUACUUGGUGUUACUGCGAAGGGGGGACGGAGAAGGCUAUGUUGGCCGGGCGACGGUUGUCCCGGUUUAAGCGUGUAGGUGUGUGUUCCAGGUAAAUCCGGUUCACUUUAACAC
rnacentral:rRNA from 1 species